CCUUGGCCAGCUCUGCUUUUUUCUUAAAGAGUCCGCUUUGGGAGAGGCGAGGAUCAGGGAGGUUGUGGGGCCCCCCCCCUGAGGUUUAAGAAAGAGGUGAGGGCCGGGAGCCCUGACCCCUGUGUGAGGGGUGGCAGUCGUUUGGGCGUUCCUGGCUGUUCUGUCCAGGCAAUCAAGUAUGAAUUAAGGCAGUAUAGCAAUGGGGUAGCCAGAAUGGCCUGUUGCAAAAUGGGAGGUGGGGAUAGGAAAGAGAUUUAGAUAGAGGCAGAGCUUUCUUUGCAACCAGGAAAAACUCAGGACCCAGCCUGGAGUGAAGUGCUUAGACCCAAUUGAACUAGCCAGGGGGGGAUGGGGAAGUAGCAGAGGAAAGGCCUGAAGAGUAGUCCUGGCACUGGUGAGGAGGGAAGAAAGGGCAAUUCAGUACAUAUUCUGCCUCUUCGCUUUCAGAGCUCAGCCUCAUCCAGGAAACUGACAGAGAAAAAUCCGCCUCUGAUGGAAUCAUUAAGUUAACCAUCCAUUUGUACCAUUUCUUUGUACAGGCUUUCCAAUGAGAGAGAAGGAGAGAAUAUAGAGCAAGUACGUUCCCCUCGGUGCAGCCCCAAGCCUAGUCCCUAUCAGAGACACAUCAGCCAAAUUGGUUUCCAAGGCCCCAGAGGCUGCUAACCUUGCUGAACAAGUUUUUUCAAAUUUCUAUCCUUAAGGAGUAUUAAAAGAUAGUGAUUACCUAUACUAGCUGUUUGUCCCUUCUCCCUUCCCCAGUCUGUACCAGCCCCCCAGCCCUUGAGUGAAGUGCAUCUUCUCAGCUAGAAGGAUUGGAGCUCAGGCCCUCCAUCUGUUGAGGUUUUUCAUUAGGGAAGCUGAAAAGGAUGUGUGUGGGUGUAAGAUUGAAUAACAAAGUAGCCCUUCAUUCUAAUAAGAAGUGUUCCUGUGCUUGACCUGGGGGAGCCAGAAGCUUGUUUACACCUUCAGUAUUCAAGGGACUGUCACAGGCCCAUUUUGACUUUAUCCUGAGAAUUAGCUGAAACUUCCUUCUCAUGUCAAGAAGUGGUUAAUUCCAGUAACAGGUCUAGGAAGGUCCUCUUCAUCUGGGAGUUCUUGGCAUUACUUUGGUCCUUUUUUCAGAAACUGAAAGAAAAGAAUAGGAAGAACAGAAUUUUGUGAAGGCAAGAAGAGGCAGAAGGCCCUGUCUGCACUGGCCUCUGACGUGACCACUUCAGGGCACUGCAACUUCCCAGAGAGGCGCUGCGGUACAAAUACCAUUCCCCUCCUCCACCACCUCCGCAAAGGCCAAGUGGAAAAGUGGGUCGGGUGAGCUGAGCUCUAGGGAGCUGGUACAAGGGUCCCUCACCCGCUUCUGCUAUACUUUGGGGCACUGACGACGCCACCCCUGCCGCCUGCAGAGGACACAUAAAGGAAGUCCUGACCUGUCCUCGGACCUGGGGAUAAUCUGGGGAAGGGGCUGACGUGGAACUCGAGUCCGAACGCCUCUGGCCCCCGCCGGGAACAAAAGCUGCCGCCUCCCAGGGCGGUCUGGCGGGCGCGCAGCACAAAGGCCCUCUCGAGUCCGCGCCGCCGCCGUGUGACGCGCGUGACGCGCGCGCGCAAGGGGCCAGGCUACAGGCGGGCAGUGUUCAAUCCACCUGGAACACUUUGGGAAAGACAAAAGACAGCAGUUCCUCCUACUUCAGAGCAUGUCUGGGCCAGCUGGGAUCCGACCAGAAACCGCAAGCGGGGGAGACGCAGGCGAGCAGGCUGAGCUCUAACGCAGGGCGCGACCCGCUGCCGGGUGCCCGCGCGGGAGCGACGUAGCCAGGGCAGCGCGAGGCCCCAGGGAAGGGCCGGCGGGUCACUUCCUCACACCCCACCUCAGCUUACCCAGGGCGCCCAGGGACUUCUCAACACGCCUGUACCUAAGCCCGUCCCUGACCCACAGUGACCCUGCAUUCUCCUGUGCCAACACACCUCUUGCUUGUCCAGGUAACACCCUUAAACGCUGCUUUACCCCCAGAAAGGGAGGAAUCCAUCUUUGAAGGCAGGGCAAGAAAAAUCCCAAAGGAAAGUUCUUGCAAAAUGUUUAAGAGCACCUAUCUAUCUACCUGCAGGAGUAUUUGUGUGGGAGUAAGUAGAGUAAGACUGCUGUUGAACUUGGAACUAAACUUGAAUGGUAUUUGAAACAACAAUAAAAAUAUACUUAUAAC